CAAAUAACAUAUGGCUCUCGUAGGUAGUGCAGAGGGACUCUUAAUAGGAUGUCCCCAUCCUUCUUCGAGCUGGUCCUUGUGUAGUCUUUAAUCGGAAGCUCACCUUUCGCCCACAUCAAAGAUGGCGCCAACAUGCGUGCGACGUCAUAGACGCACACGCACAUUUUGGAGUCAGAGGCCAGAGACAACCAAUUACAAAAAUGUGACAAAGGUGAUCUGUGUGGAAGGUAGGCGCUUAGGGAAUGAUAGUCAAUAUAUAACGUAAAUAGCUGCUACAAUACUUUUAUGUGGAUCUCUCUAGUCCACCAGAUUGGAAGGUAAAAUAAGGGUUAGGAAAUUUGAGAGAGG